GUGGGGAAUCUUAGACAAUGGGGGAAACCCUGAUCUAGCCAUGCCGCGUGAGCGAUGAAGGCCUUAGGGUUGUAAAGCUCUUUCAGCUGGGAAGAUAAUGACGGUACCAGCAGAAGAAGCCCCGGCUAACUCCGUGCCAGCAGCCGCGGUAAUACGGAGGGGGCUAGCGUUGCUCGGAAUUACUGGGCGUAAAGCGCACGUAGGCGGAUCAGAAAGUCAGAGGUGAAAUCCCAGGGCUCAACCUUGGAACUGCCUUUGAAACUCCUGGUCUUGAGGUCGAGAGAGGUGAGUGGAAUUCCGAGUGUAGAGGUGAAAUUCGUAGAUAUUCGGAGGAACACCAGUGGCGAAGGCGGCUCACUGGCUCGAUACUGACGCUGAGGUGCGAAAGCGUGGGGAGCAAACAGGAUUAGAAACCCCAGUAGUCC
rnacentral:rRNA from 1 species